rnacentral:rRNA from 1 species
GACGAACGCUGGCGGCGUGCUUAACACAUGCAAGUCGAGCGGUAAGGCCCUUCGGGGUACACGAGCGGCGAACGGGUGAGUAACACGUGGGUGACCUGCCUUUAGCUCUGGGAUAAGCCUGGGAAACCGGGUCUAAUACCGGAUAUGACUCCGCGGCGCAUGUUGUGGGGGUGGAAAGCCUUGUGCGGCUGGAGAUGGGCCCGCGGCCUAUCAGCUUGUUGGUGGGGUGAUGGCCUACCAAGGCGACGACGGGUAGCCGGCCUGAGAGGGCGACCGGCCACACUGGGACUGAGACACGGCCCAGACUCCUACGGGAGGCAGCAGUGGGGAA